rnacentral:tRNA from 1 species
GACGGGGUAGCCCAACGGCAGAGGCAGCCGACUCAGACUCGGCCCAGUGAGGGUUCGAAUCCCUCCCCUGUUA